UACGUAGGGUGCGAGCGUUGUCCGGAAUUAUUGGGCGUAAAGGGCUCGUAGGCGGUUUGUCGCGUCGGGAGUGAAAACACACAGCUUAACUGUGUGCUUGCUUCCGAUACGGGCAGACUAGAGGUAUGCAGGGGAGAACGGAAUUCCUGGUGUAGCGGUGAAAUGCGCAGAUAUUGGGAAGAACACCAGUGGCGAAGGCGGUUCUCUGGGACGGUACUGACGCUGAGACGCGAAAGCGUGGGGAGCGAACAGG
rnacentral:rRNA from 1 species